CUAAAUAAGCUUCUUCUUCCUUCUCAAAGCUUUGAUGGUGUAGCUGAAGUCCGUAUGAGUGAUAAUAGGUUUUUAGUCAAUUAUCGUAAAACACCAAUCAUGUCGUUGUAGUAUUUUAGAUUGUCAAUCCAAAUAGGUGUGAUGUGAUAACACUGUAUUUUACUCAUUUUAGGUGUAUGUUUAUCAUCAUUUAGCUUUACAUUUGUUCAUUGUAUCAUAUCAUUUUGCACCAUUUUAGCUUGUUUUGCAUACUUAGGCAUCUAAGAUCAUCUUGCAUAUGCAUUGCAUGUUUUGGUGUGUUUUCAGGUGCAGAAGGAGCUAAAAAGGACUCUACUCGAUCCAUUCACUCGAUCCAGGCAGCUAUAGAAGAGGCAUCAUUCUACACUACCUCUUUACUCGAUCUAGGAUGCUACAAAGGAGGCUUAAGUUUACUCGACCCUCUUACUCGAUCAAGGCAACCUCAGAUGAAGCAGCAGAUUGAUCUACUCGCCCCUCCUACUCGAUCCCCUACUCGAUCCAUUUACUCGACCAAGGGUGACCAUCUCUACAAGACUUGUUGAGCUAUCAAAGCGUCUUCGGAUCCUUCUCAUUCCCCACUCAACCAGACAUCUGAGCAUACGGAUAGGAGAGGAUGAAGCAUCUACUCGACCAAUUGAUCACUCGGAGUCUCUUAUCUUCUAGUGAAUCUAGGGUUUCCAACAUUUUAGUAUAAAUAGAUCACUUUGGGAUUUGUCCAGAGGAUCUAUGUUUUUAUCUUUCACUUU
rnacentral:sRNA from 1 species